AUCACGCAGGCAACUACAGAAGCGUACUACCGCAACAGGGAUCUGACUAAGAAGUUUCUGAUCUUCAUUACCGUCACUGUUCGGUUUUGAGGUGACUAUUUAGGAGCUGUUGUUGCCGGGCAGCUGAACUGGAGGCCCCGCAGGGUCCUCCGCUGGUAGGGAUCUUGCCUCUAAAGUUUGAGUUGCGGCUUCCCUGCCGCCGGUAUCCUUCCACCGCGGAGUCCUGAGAUCUCAGCCAGCUCUCGCUGAGUCAUAUUCCUGUCGCUCAUAAGCCCUUCUUGUGGAACGAGAAGGCGGGGACCACCGGGAACCCAGUCACGCAGAGAUCUCAUGCUCCCUAUUGCCUGGCACUCGCUACUAAACGCUCCUCUGCUCCUCACCAGCCCGGUGCAGAGCUGUAGGCCGAACUUUCCCAAGUGGACACGGGACUGAAAUGUGAACGCGGACCUUGUGGCCACGAUUCCACUUGGGAGGUUCAGCUUCCAUGUCUGGGACGCUACAGGGGCGUGGGUGGUUCGCGUCACAGAGGAGUAUUCCAUAGUGUCCUGCAGGAUCUGUAACGCCAGCCAUGAGGAAAGAGCCUGUGCCUCCUGUCACCCUCCUGUGUCCCAGCGCUAAAGUGGCUGUACAAGUCUGCUCUCCCACCAGCAAUGGAGGAGUGUUCCCCUUGCUCCACAUCCUCAGCUGCCACUUGUUUAUUUGAUCUCAGCAACUCUGAGACAAAAUACCAUGACCAAAAGCAACUUAAGAAAGUUUCUUGGAGCUUAUAGUUCCAGAGGGAUAAAGUCCAUCAUGGCAAGGAAGGCAUGAAAUGGCAGCAGGAGCUGAAAACAGAUCAUAUUUCAUCUGCACACAGGAAAUAGAGGAUAAAGAAAACAAACAAGCCUGUUGCGGUAACGCCCGUGUCACCGCUAACCGUUCACCACGUCUGAGCGAAGGGCUGCGGAUUAAAAAAUAGAGACAAGAGACAGCGGGUCAUUCGUACGAUUGGAUGUCGAAUGCCGUUUAUUGAAAGAGGGGAGAAACCUUAAAUACGUACAGGCUUACAGCACAA